rnacentral:lncRNA from 1 species
CGUGCUCCAGUCUAUUCACAGCAAUGCCUAGUGGUGUCCCGAAGUCUCAGUUCUGUGGAAUAUGAGCCUAAAGAAAAAACUUUUGAUAAAAUUCUUAUUGCUAACAGAGGAGAAAUUGCUUGUAGGGUCAUUAAGACUUGCAGGAAGAUGGGCAUCAGGACAGUUGCCAUCCACAGUGAUGUUGAUGCCAGCUCGGAUGAGAAAUAAUUCAAGCAUUUCAGAGAGAAACUAAUAUUGAAUACACGGUGCUAUAGAAGAAUCAAAGCAUUCACCUUUCCACCGUCAAAUGCUCUAGAAUCAGAGAGGGUGGACCCUCCUCUGUGUCGUGGGUGGGCUCUUUAUGCCAGGUAGACCCAUUCUGGGCCCAGCAUGCGUAGAGCCGUCUGCCAUGAAGCCAUCCAUUAGAAAUGCUAGAAAUGUACAUAUUUUGGGGAAAAGGAGCUGAUAAAUUGAAUUCCUUUAGAAAAUAAAUUGAAAUGCAGCAUAAAUCCAUAAGCAAACUGUAUUUUAUCUGUAGACAAAUUUAUAUUGGCACUGUACAGAUGAACACAGUUUUUAAAAAUUAUAAACACUGUCAAAUUUAAUAAAACUUUGUAUGG